rnacentral:rRNA from 1 species
AAGGUGAUAUGAACCGUUAUAACCGGCGAUACCCGAAUGGGGAAACCCAUGGUGACUAGUCACACUAUCAUUAACUGAAUCCAUAGGUUAAUGAGGCGAACCGGGGGAACUGAAACAUCUAAGUACCCCGAGGAAAAGAAAUCAACCGAGAUUCCCCCAGUAGCGGCGAGCGAACGGGGAGGAGCCCAGAGCCUGAAUCAGCAUGUGUGUUAGUGGAAGCGUCUGGAAAGGCGCGCGAUACAGGGUGACAGCCCCGUACACAAAAGCGCAUGUGCUGUGAGCUCGAUGAGUAGGGCGGGACACGUGGUAUCCUGUCUGAAUAUGGGGGGACCAUCCUCCAAGGCUAAAUACUCCUGACUGACCGAUAGUGAACCAGUACCGUGAGGGAAAGGCGAAAAGAACCCCGGCGAGGGGAGUGAAAAAGAACCUGAAACCGUGUACGUACAAGCAGUGGGGGCACCCUUUGGGUGGUGACUGCGUACCUUUUGUAUAAUGGGUCCGCGACUUAUUUUCUGUAGCAAGGUUAACCGCAU